UUGCGGGUGCAAGUCCCGCCCGGGUAGCCGCCGAAGGGCCCGGUAGCAGGCGCCAGCGCCGAGGAGAGAUCCUCGUCGCCGAGCGGCGCGUCGAAAGCCUCGUCAAAGGAGGGAGCAAAGGAGCGGGCCGCAACCCGU
rfam:Deltaproteobacteria bacterium RIFOXYB2_FTLL_66_7 rifoxyb2_full_scaffold_18137_curated, whole genome shotgun sequence.